rnacentral:rRNA from 1 species
UACAGAGGUGGCAAGCGUUGUUCGGAAUUACUGGGCGUAAAGGGCGCGUAGGCGGUUGAUUAAGUCCCGUGUGAAAUCCCUCGCUCAACUGAGGAACUGCACGGGAAACUGGUCGACUUGAGUUCGGGAGAGGGAAGCGGAAUUCCGGGUGUAGCGGUGAAAUGCGUAGAAUGAUCCGGAGGAACACCGGUGGGCGAAGGCGGCUUCCUGGACCGGAUGACUGACGCUGAGGCGACGAAGACUAGGGGAGCAAACGGG